rnacentral:rRNA from 1 species
UGAGGAAUAUUGGUCAAUGGAGGAAACUCUGAACCAGCCAAGUCGCGUGAAGGAUGACGGUCCUAUGGAUUGUAAACUUCUUUAGUAGGCGAGUAAGGAUAGGUACGUGUACCUAUUAGAAAGUAGCCUAAGAAUAAGUAUCGGCUAACUCCGUGCCAGCAGCCGCGGUAAUACGGAGGGGGCAAGCGUUGUCCGGAAUCACUGGGCGUAAAGGGUUCGCAGGCGGAAAUGCAAGUCAGUUGUGAAAGGCAGAGGCUCAACCUCUGUAAGCAAUUGAAACUGUAUUUCUUGAGAUGUGGAGAGGCAAGUGGAAUUCCUAGUGUAGCGGUGAAAUGCGUAGAUAUUAGGAAGAAUACCGGUGGCGAAGGCGACUUGCUGGACACAAACUGACGCUGAGGAACGAAAGCGUGGGUAGCAAACAGG